rnacentral:rRNA from 1 species
UACGGGGGGAGCAAGCGUUGUCCGGAUUUAUUGGGCGUAAAGAGCGUGUAGGCGGCCAGGUAGGUCAGCUGUGAAAACUCGAGGCUCAACCUCGAGACGUCGGUUGAAACCACCUGGCUAGAGUCCGGAAGAGGAGAGUGGAAUUCCUGGUGUAGCGGUGAAAUGCGCAGAUAUCAGGAAGAACACCCGUGGCGAAGGCGGCUCUCUGGGACGGUACUGACGCUGAGACGCGAAAGCGUGGGGAGCGAACAGG